rnacentral:lncRNA from 1 species
GAGAAUUCUCCUUCUAUAAUCUUGAGAGUAUUUCUUUAGAGUUUAAAAAAGAUUUGAGCGUAGUAUAAGUUUCCUUCGAGUAUAUCCUCGCUCUACUAGUCGGAAUACUCUUCUUUGAAAGGUAAAGGGAUAUAAUUAUAGUAAGGGAUAUUAUUUGUUGUACCGGUAAGGGGUGUUAUUCUUUCUUAUUCAUGAAGAGAACUUCUGUUAUUUCAUUCUUUAUUAUUCUGUUGGAAUAACCUGUAUACGUGGCAUAGCCUAUACAUGGUGAUCUUCUUUUGUUAUUCAAUUCUUUAUUAUUCUGUUGGAAUAACCUGUAUGCGCGGUUUACCCUAUACUUGGUGGAAUGACAUGUAUAUGUGAUUUACCCAAUACUUGGUGAUCUUCUUUUAUUAUUCCGCAUUUAUUAUUCUGUUCGAAUAACCUGUAUAUACGGAUUACCGUAUACCUGGUGAUGUCUGUUGUUAUUCCAUUCUUUAUUAUUAUGUUGGAAUAACCUGUUUAUGCGAAGUACUGCAUACAUGGUGAAAUUCUUUUAUUAUUCCAUUCUUUAUUAUACUGUUGGUUAUUGGUUUUAUAAUUGUAUAUCUUUGGCCUGUAGUGCAAAGAUGUUAUGUUGUUGAAUAUCUUUGGCCUGUAGUGCAAAGAUGAUCUAUUGUUUGAUAGCUUUGACCCGUAGUGCGACGAUGGACAGGUGUAUGACAUGAUCAUGACCACUAGUGAUACUAACAAAUAUCCUUGGCCCGUAGUGCGGGGAUGAUUCGAUGAUGGGAAUUAUUUAUUAAGCUGAGUCUCAGCGAUUGGUUUUAUAGUUGAAUACCUUUGGCACGUAGUACAAAGGUAGACAACUGAUUGGUAUGAUCAUUGUUAUUACAUUUGAAUAUCUUUAGCCUUUGGGGUAAGGAUAUUGAGUAAACAUUUUAUUAAUCCUUUGUGACAGGGAGAAACUGUUGAUUUACAUGAUUAUAAAUAUGAAUUGUGAACUUAAUUAUAAUAUUUAGUGGUUCAGGUGAAUACAGGUGAUGAAAGUUCUCUUUGUCUUGGGUACAACGAAGAACUGUUGAUGAGUAUUACAGGAAUAAAAUAUUAACG